GCUUGAUAACUGUGACUUGUACAAUAAAUUCAGCCAUGAUUCAUAUGACCAUAACUGACAUAACAGAUGCCCUGCCCUUCUGACUGAUUUGAUUGCAUUUUAGAUAAGAAUGUCCAUCCCAAAACAUGUGGAUUUUAGGUUGGGAUGUUAAGGAUGCUUUUCCUCUGCCAAACAUCAAGAUUGCUUGAUGCCAAACACUAAAACUUUGAAAAAUACCUCUUUUUAAACAGAAGUCCUUCUAAUGAAUAUAGGAAAUGUUUGGAAGUAACUAAAGGAGGGUGGAGGAGCCUCCACCACAGCAGAGCCUGCAGGAUUGUUUUGGAUUCCUUUCCCAUUCUGAUGACCUCCAGGGUAAUGAUAGUUGCUGCAAGGAGUUCCAGGGAGAAGAGCUGUAACUACUCCAAGUUCAACAUUGUCUCUUUUGUGUGUUUUAAUUAAAGUUUAAUUUUAAUUUGUAAAUGUCAUAU
rnacentral:lncRNA from 1 species